UACGUAGGGGCGAGGGCGUUGUCCGGUAAUUCGAAUUUGGGUGCGUAAAGGGUGUGUAGGCGGCUUUGCAAGUCAGAUGUGAAAUGCCACGGCUUAACCGUGGAACUGCAUUUGAAACUGCAGGGCUUGAGUUCGGAAGAGGAAAACGGAAUUCCUAGUGUAGCGGUGAAAUGCGUAGAUAUUGGGAGGAACACCAGUGGCGAAGGCGACUUUCUGGUCUGUAACUGACGCUGAGGCGCGAAAGCGUGGGGAGCAAACAGG
rnacentral:rRNA from 1 species